UACGGGGGGGCAAGCGUUGUUCGGAAUUACUGGCGUAAAGGGCUCGUAGGCGGCCAACUAAGUCAGACGUGAAAUCCCUCGGCUUAACCUGGGAACUGCGUCGGAUACUGGAUGGCUUGAAUCCGGGAGAGGGAUGCGGAAUUCCAGGUGGUAGCGGUGAAAUGCGUAGAUAUCUGGAGGAACACCCGUGGCUAAGGCGGCUCUCUAGUACGGUACUGACGCUGAGACGCGAAAGCGUGGGAGCGAACGAGG
rnacentral:rRNA from 1 species